GGCCCGUUAAGUCCGGGGUGAAAGCCCGUUGCUCAACAACGGAACUGCCCUGGAUACUGACAGGCUUGAGUACAGACGAGGUUGGCGGAAUGGACCGAGUAGCGGUGAAAUGCAUAGAUACGGUCCAGAACCCCGAUUGCGAAGGCAGCUGACUAGGCUGUUACUGACGCUGAGGCACGACAGCGUGGGGAGCGAACAGGAUUAG
rnacentral:rRNA from 1 species